CCUUUGCAAGCUUUAAAGGAAAUUAUUUGUCUCAUAGAUAGGAUUAUUCCCUUUGUGGGUGAGCCCUGGCGAGAACCUCCGUCCUGAGCCAACUUCCUUAGCGGGAUUCUCACCCUGCCAGACCCAGACUUGUCCGCGAAGGGAAAUGAAGAGGCGCGGAAGGCUUGGAGCGUGAACCAAAAAACAAUGGGUGGGGAUCGUCUAACCAGCUCCCUUCCCUAGAAGGGCGGAAACGGCUUUCGAAGCAUCCGCGAUUCUCUUUAUUGAAUCUUGAGUGACACCUAGUGGCCCAUCCGCCUCACCGUCACGGCGAUGCUGGUUUCACUGGGCUUUUCAGAAGGCGUGCUGGCCUGCCCAUGGUUCUCGGCUAAAAGACUUUGGAGCGUAGGGUGCCGAUGAAGUUUCCUGGGACCUUCCGGAAGCACUUGCUGUCCCGUCAACAGCCCUGUACCUGCGAUGCAUGCAAUUCUAAUGAAAAUGCCCUUCUCGUCUGGAGGGCUUGCUUGAGCACAUCCUGAGCUCUCAGGCAGCAAAUAUAGAGUCGGGUGCUAUUCCGGGAGCUGGGCACACAAAGAUGACCAACGCUUGGUUUCUGAUCUCAAGAAUCUCACAGCCCAGCUGGGGGGAAAUGGACCAGUAGAAGAGUGUGUAUUUGAUGCUGUGGGGUAGAGGGGGUGGACCUAGCUCGGCCUAGAGACAUCAAGAAAGUCACCCUUGAGCUGAGUUUUGAAGAUUAGGCAGAAUUCUAAGAUGACCCCUGAAGAUUCUCAGCCCAUCCCCCUCGCAGUGUACACACACCUUUGCCCAGUUAUUCAAUCAAACAAUUUAGGUGCUUCUGUGAAGAGAAUUUGCAGAUGUAAUUAAAGUUCCCAAAUUAAUUGAUCUUAAGAUCUGGAG
rnacentral:lncRNA from 10 species